GGCGAGUUUGAUCCUGGCUCAGGACGAACGCUGGCGGCGCGCCUAAUACAUGCAAGUCGAACGGGUUGCCUUCGGGCAGCCAGUGGCGGACGGGUGAGUAACACGUGGGUGACCUGCCCUGGAGUGGGGAAUAACGCUGCGAAAGCAGCGCUAAUACCGCAUACGCUUAGCGCUUCAUUGCGUUAAGUAAAGCUUUACGCGCUCUAGGAGGGGCCUGCGACAGAUUAGCUAGUCGGUGGGGUAAUGGCCUACCGAGGCGACGAUCUGUAGCUGGUCUGGGAGGAUGACCAGCCACACUGGGACUGAGACACGGCCCAGACUCCUACGGGAGGCAGCAGUAAGGAAUACUCCACAAUGGGCGCAAGCCUGAUGGAGCGACGCCGCGUGCGCGAAGAAGCCCUUCGGGGUGUAAAGCGCUUUUCUCGGGGAUGACGACCGACAGUACCCGAGGAAGAAGCCUCGGCUAACUACGUGCCAGCAGCCGCGGUAAUAAGU
rnacentral:rRNA from 1 species